UACGUAGGGUGCGAGCGUUGUCCGGAAUUACUGGGCGUAAAGAGCUCGUAGGUGGUUUGUCGCGUUGUCCGUGAAAACUCACAACUCAAUUGUGGGCGUGCGGGCGAUACGGGCAGACUGGAGUACUGCAGGGGAGACUGGAAUUCCUGGUGUAGCGGUGGAAUGCGCAGAUAUCAGGAGGAACACCGGUGGCGAAGGCGGGUCUCUGGACCGUAACUGACGCUGAGACACGAAAGCGUGGGUAGCAAACAGG
rnacentral:rRNA from 1 species